AACCGCGCUGAGGGAUGACGGCUUCGGUGUAAACUCUUAGCCAGGGAGAGCGAAUGUACGUACUGCCAGAAAAGCACCGCUACUACGUGCCAGCAGCCGGGUAUACGUAGGUGCAAGCCGUAUCGGAAAUAUUGGGCGUAAAGAAGCUUCGUAGCGGUUUUUCGCGUCCUGCUUUGAAAAUCCGGAGGCUCAACUCCGGCCUGCAGUGGGUACGGGCAGACUAGAGUGCGGUAGGGGAGAUUGGAAUUCCUGGUGUAGCGGUGGAAUGCGCAGAUAUCAGGAGGAACACCGAUGGCGAAGGCAGAUCUCUGGGCCGUUACUGACGCUGAGGAGCGAAAGGGUGGGGAGCAAACAGGCUUAGAUACCCUGGUAGUCCACCCCGUAAACGUUGGGAACUAGUUGUGGGGUCCAUUCCACGGAUUCCGUGACGCAGCUAACGCAUUAAGUUCCCCGCCUGGGGAGUACGGCCGCAAGGCUAAAACUCAAAGGAAUUGACGGGGACCCGCACAAGCGGCGGAGCAUGCGGAUUAAUUCGAUGCAACGCGAAGAACCUUACCAAGGCUUGACAUAUACGAGAACGGGCCAGAAAUGGUCAACUCUUUGGACACUCGUAAACAGGUGGUGCAUGGUUGUCGUCAGCUCGUGUCGUGAGAUGUUGGGUUAAGUCCCGCAACGAGCGCAACCCUCGUUCUAUGUUGCCAGCACGUAAUGGUGGGAACUCAUGGGAUACUGCCGGGGUCAACUCGGAGGAAGGUGGGGAUGACGUCAAAUCAUCAUGCCCCUUAUGUCUUGGGCUUCACGCAUGCUACAAUGGCCGGUACAAAGGGCUGCAAUACCGCGAGGUGGAGCGAAUCCCAAAAAGCCGGUCCCAGUUCGGAUUGAGGUCUGCAACUCGACCUCAUGAAGUCGGAGUCGCUAGUAAUCGCAGAUCAGCAACGCUGCGGUGAAUACGUUCCCGGGUCUUGUACACACCGCCCGUCAAGUCAUGAAAGUCGGUAACACCUGAAGCCGGUGGCCUAACCCUUGUGGAGGAGCCGUCGAA
rnacentral:rRNA from 1 species